UACGAAGGGGGGCUAGCGUUGCCCCGGAAUCACUGGGCGUAAAGGGCGCGUAGGCGGCCAUUCAAGUCAGAGGUGAAAGCCCAAGGCUCAACCUUGGAACUGCCUUUGAUACUGUUUGGCUUGAGACCGGUAGAGGUAAGUGGAACUGCGAGUGUAGAGGUGAAAUUCGUAGAUAUUCGCAAGAACACCAGUGGCGAAGGCGGCUUACUGGUCCGGUUCUGACGCUGAGGCGCGAAAGCGUGGGGGAGCAAACAGG
rnacentral:rRNA from 1 species